GUUGUUUUGUAGAGGUAAAUUUGUAUCAUCAGAAUUAAGUAGUAGCUCUUUCAAUUUAUAUCUAUUUUGUAGGGUGGAAUUUCUUAGAGCGAGAGAGGGAAUAGCAUAUGGUUAGGAACAUGAUCGAUCAAUGUUAGUUUUAAUUUUGACUCUAUUGGUUUUAGGGGUAAAUCUAAUUAAUGGAAACAUAUGGACAAUUUUUUCAUCUCUAUAUGGUCUAGAGUAGUUGAUAUAUGACGUUUGAUGGUUGGAUCGGGUUUGAACGAUAUGAUGC
rnacentral:lncRNA from 1 species